UACGGGGGGGGCAAGCGUUGUUCGGAAUUACUGGGCGUAAAGGGCUCGUAGGCGGCCAACUAAGUCAGACGUGAAAUCCCUCGGCUUAACUGGGGAACUGCAUCUGAUACUGGAUGGCUUGAGUUCGGGAGAGGGAUGCGGAAUUCCAGGUGUAGCGGUGAAAUGCGUAGAUAUCUGGAGGAACACCGGUGGCGAAGGCGGCAUCCUGGACCGACACUGACGCUGAGGAGCGAAAGCCAGGGGAGCAAACGGG
rnacentral:rRNA from 1 species